rnacentral:misc_RNA from 1 species
GAUGAAGAACGCAGCGAAAUGCGAUAAGUAAUGCGAAUUGCAGAAUCCGUGAGUCAUCGAAUCUUUGAACGCACAUUGCGCCCCUUGGUUAUUCCGAAGGGCAUGCCUGUUCGAGCGUCAUUUCACCACUCAAGCCUCGCUUGGUAUUGGGCAAUGCGGUCCGCCGCCUGCCUCAAAUCGACCGGCUGGGUCUUCUGUCCCCUAAGCGUUGUGGAAACUAUUCGCUAAAGGGUGUUCGGGAGGCUACGCCGUAAAACAACCCCAUUUCUAAGGUUGACCUCGGAUCAGGUAGGGAUACCCGCUGAACUUAAGCAUAUCAAUAAGCGGAGGA